GAUGAACGCUGGCGGCGUGCCUAAUACAUGCAAGUCGAGCGAACGGACGAGAAGCUUGCUUCUCUGAUGUUAGCGGCGGACGGGUGAGUAACAUGUGGAUAACCUACCUAUAAGACUGGGAUAACUUCGGGAAACCGGAGCUAAUACCGGAUAAUAUUUUGAACCGCAUGGUUCAAAAGUGAAAGACGGUCUUGCUGUCACUUAUAGAUGGAUCCGCACUGCAUUAGCUAGUUGGUAAGGUAACGGCUUACCAAGGCAACGAUGCAUAGCCGACCUGAGAGGGUGAUCGGCCACACUGGAACUGAGACACGGUCCAGACUCCUACGGGAGGCAGCAGUAUGGAAUCUUCCGCAAUGGGCGAAAGCCUGACGGAGCAACGCCGCGUGAGUGAUGAAGGUCUUCGGAUCGUAAAACUCUGUUAUUAGGGAAGAACAUAUGUGUAAGUAACUGUGCACAUCUUGACGGUACCUAAUCAGAAAGCCACGGCUAACUACGUG
rnacentral:rRNA from 1 species